UGGCGGACGGGUGAGUAAUGUCUGGGAAACUGCCUGAUUGAGGGGGAUAACUACUGGAAACGGUAGCUAAUACCGCAUAACGUCGCAAGACCAAAGAGGGGGACCUUCGGGCCUCUUGCCAUCGGAUGUGCCCAGAUGGGAUUAGCUAGUAGGUGGGGUAACGGCUCACCUAGGCGACGAUCCCUAGCUGGUCUGAGAGGAUGACCAGCCACACUGGAACUGAGACACGGUCCAG
rnacentral:rRNA from 1 species